rnacentral:rRNA from 1 species
CCUACGGGUGGCAGCAGUCGAGAAUCAUUCACAAUGGGGGAAACCCUGAUGGUGCGACGCCGCGUGGGGGAAUGAAGGUCUUCGGAUUGUAAACCUCUGUCAUGUGGGAGCAAAUUAAAAAGAUAGUACCACAAGAGGAAGAGACGGCUAACUCUGGGUCAGCAGCCGCGGUAAAACAGAGGUCUCAAGCGGUGUUCGGAAUCACUGGGUGUAAAGCGUGCGUAGGGUGUUUCGUAAGUCGUGUGUGAAAGGCGCGGGCUCAACCCGCGUACGGCAGAUGAUACUGCGAGACUAGAGUGAGGGAGGGGGAGCCGGAAUGCGUGGUGUAGCGGUGAAAUGCGUAGAUAUCGAGAAGAACACUCGUGGCGAAGGCAGGUUCCUGGACAUUAACUGACGCUGAGGCACGAAGGCCAGGGGAGCGAAAGGGAUUAGAUACCCCAGUAGUC